GGGUCGUUAGCUCAGUUGGUAGAGCAGUUGACUUUUAAUCAAUUGGUCGCAGGUUCGAAUCCUGCACCACCCACCA
rnacentral:tRNA from 2 species